rnacentral:rRNA from 1 species
UGGUGGGUAGUUUGACUGGGGCGGUCUCCUCCUAAAGAGUAACGGAGGAGCACGAAGGUUGGCUAAUCCUGGUCGGACAUCAGGAGGUUAGUGCAAUGGCAUAAGCCAGCUUGACUGCGAGCGUGACGGCGCGAGCAGGUGCGAAAGCAGGUCAUAGUGAUCCGGUGGUUCUGAAUGGAAGGGCCAUCGCUCAACGGAUAAAAGGUACUCCGGGGAUAACAGGCUGAUACCGCCCAAGAGUUCAUAUCGACGGCGGUGUUUGGCACCUCGAUGUCGGCUCAUCACAUCCUGGGGCUGAAGUAGGUCCCAAGGGUAUGGCUGUUCGCCAUUUAAAGUGGUACGCGAGCUGGGUUUAGAACGUCGUGAGACAGUUCGGUCCCUAUCUGCCGUGGGCGCUGGAGAACUGAGGGGGGCUGCUCCUAGUACGAGAGGACCGGAGUGGACGCAUCACUGGUGUUCGGGUUGUCAUGCCAAUGGCACUGCCCGGUAGCUAAAUGCGGAAGAGAUAAGUGCUGAAAGCAUCUAAGCACGAAACUUGCCCCGAGAUGAGUUCUCCCUGAGACUUAAAGUCUCCUGAAGGAACGUUGAAGACGACGACGUUGAUAGGCCGGGUGUGUAAGCGCAGCGAUGCGUUGAGCUAACCGGUACUAAUGAACCGU